AUAGGUCAGUCGUAGUAACCCCUUUGGGCGAAAUCAGUACCUUUUGCAGAGGGAGGGCUUGUUCCCGGCUACCAAGCCAAAACACCCUGUCCGAUGUAGUCAGCCGGACGCUUCUUGCAUGGUGAGCGAUUGUACGGUAGCUCAUUUCAUGGCUGGUACUACAAGCAGUUAGAACCCGUACCCGACAAUAAGACUGUACGGAGGGGAACCUUCUAUGACAAGUGAA
ncrna:unclassified sequences RT-2 RNA